GCCUGGGUGGCUCAAUUGGUUGAGCAUCUGACUUCGGCUCAGGUCAUGAUCUCGUGGUUUGUGGGUUCAAACCCCAUGUGGGUUUGUGGGUUCAAACCCCAUGUCGGGCU
rnacentral:tRNA from 1 species